rnacentral:tRNA from 1 species
AGCUAUAAAAAUAGUUUAUAUUUAAUAUUUGGUUUACAAAACCAAUGCUUUAUAUUAAGCUAUUAUAGC